GAGUUUGAUCGUGGCUCAGAACGAACGCUGGCGGCAUGCCUAACACAUGCAAGUCGAACGAGACCUUCGGGUCUAGUGGCGCACGGGUGCGUAACGCGUGGGAAUCUGCCCUUGGGUUCGGGAUAACAGUUGGAAACGACUGCUAAUACCGGAUGAUGACUUCGGUCCAAAGAUUUAUCGCCCAGGGAUGAGCCCGCGUCGGAUUAGCUAGUUGGUGAGGUAAAGGCUCACCAAGGCGACGAUCCGUAGCUGGUCUGAGAGGAUGAUCAGCCACACUGGGACUGAGACACGGCCCAGACUCCUACGGGAGGCAGCAGUGGGGAAUAUUGGACAAUGGGCGAAAGCCUGAUCCAGCAAUGCCGCGUGAGUGAUGAAGGCCUUAGGGUUGUAAAGCUCUUUUACCAGGGAUGAUAAUGACAGUACCUGGAGAAUAAGCUCCGGCUAACUCCGUGCCAGCCGCCGCUGU
rnacentral:rRNA from 1 species